rfam:Triticum aestivum genome assembly, contig: Triticum_aestivum_CS42_TGACv1_scaffold_129476_2BL
CUCAUACUCCCUUCGUCCAAAAGUACUUGUCAUCAAAAUGGAUAAAAAGAGAUGAAUCUAGAACUAAAAUACGUCUAGAUACAUCCCCUUUUAUCCAUUUUAGUGACAACUAUUUCCGAACGGAGGGAGUACAAU